UUUAAAGAGUGCGUAACAGCUCACUAGUCGAGCGAUUUGGCAUGGAUAAUAAUCGGGCAUAAAUACACUACCGAAGCUAUGAACUUGAAUUUAUUCAAGUGGUAGGGGAGCAUUCUAAUUGCAUUGAAGGUGAACUGUGAGGUUUGCUGGAGCGGUUAGAAAAGAAAAUGUAGGCAUAAGUAACGUUAAGGAGGGCGAGAACCCCUCCCACCGCAAGACUAAGGUUUCCCCGGCUAUGCUAGUCAUCCGGGGGUUAGUCAGGACCUAAGGCGUACCCUAACGGGGAAGUCGAUGGACAACGGGUUAAUAUUCCCGUACCCGCACAUCGCCAAAAGCGACGGAGGCGAGAAGUUGGUGCGUGCAGACGGAAUUGCACGUUGAAGGGAGUAGUAAUACCCCGAUAGUACGCCGAGGCUACGGCCAAGGCGAUAAUCCAGCGUAUCGACUUCCAAGAAAAGCGAGAUGUGCGGCCCGUACCGUAAACCGACACAGGUGGUCGGGAUGAGUAUUCUAAGGCGCUCGAGAGAUUCAUGGUUAAGGAACUAGGCAAAAUAGCCCUGUAACUUCGGGAGAAGGGGCUCCAACUUCGGUUGGACGCAGUGAAAAGACCCAGGCGACUGUUUAUCAAAAACACAUGGCUGUGCGAACUUGAAAGAGGAUGUAUACGGCCUGACACCUGCCCGGUGCCGGAAGGUUAAGGGGGGGAGUUAUCCUUUGGGAGAAGCUCUGAACUGAAGCCCCAGUAAACGGCGGCCGUAACUAUAACGGUCCUAAGGUAGCGAAAUUCCUUGUCGGGUA
rnacentral:rRNA from 12 species